UACGUAGGGGCCGAGCGUUGUCCGGAUUUAUUGGGCGUAAAGCGCGCGCAGGCGGCCUCGCGCGCCCGACGUGAAAGCCCCCGGCUUAACCGGGGAGGGUCGUUGGGGACGGCGGAGCUUGAGGGCGGGAGAGGUCGGUGGAAUUCCCGGUGUAGUGGUGAAAUGCGUAGAGAUCGGGAGGAACACCUGUGGCGAAGGCGGCCGACUGGGCCGGCCCUGACGCUGAGGCGCGAAGGCGUGGGGAGCGAACGGG
rnacentral:rRNA from 1 species